CGCGACCCAAACACCCGGCCCGGUGCACUUUGGAGCCGCGCUGCUCCUCGGCCUUCCGGUGUGAAGGCCGGGGAACCUCCUCCCCUACUGGGCACCCCCACCUUCGUGGCCCAGACCCCCCCCGCCCCUCUUUUGCGGGGGGGAGUGCGGCGACGGUUGCCGGGAAGCGCGCGCCGCCCCUCCCUUCCCUCCUCCGUCCUUCCCUCACGCGCCACCCGUUUUUCCUCUUUCUCCGUUAAUAACAGCUGGGUGGCUGGGGGAGGAGGGAAGGUGGCCCCGGCGGAGUCUGGGCGGGCGCCUCCCACUCACCCGCGAGCCGCCGUGUGAGCGGGAGGAUGGCGGCGGUAGUUGCGGCCGCCCGGGAGGAGGCGGUACCGAGGCCCCGGGCGCAGAGCGCGGCGGCGGCGGCAGAGAGCGGCAGCGGCCCGUCCCGGAGCACCAGAACCGAAACCAGCGGCAGCCGCACAGCCACCUGAGCCGCCCCUCCCGCCGGAGCUAGAGAGCGGCGUCCGCCGCAGCCCGACCUCCUUCCUCUCCGCCUCUCCUCGUUUCCUGCGACCUCCCGCAGGCCACCGGUCUCGCCCGCCGCCCCCGAGCACAAGAGCGCGCCGGGCGCCUACCGCCCUUCGGGGCGCGGGGCGGCGGUCCUGGACGUGCGGGCUUCUUCUUGCGCGGGGCGCGGCGCCUCGGCCCUUCCCGCUCGUUCCUGCGCUCGCUCCCGCCCUCCCGGCGCUCCGGGCGCCGCGCGCGGGCCCGGCCUGGGGCUGGGCGGACAUGGGCGCCAAGCAGAGCGGCCCGGCCGCUGCUAACGGCCGCACUCGCGCCUACUCGGGCUCGGAUCUACCUUCCAGCAGCAGCGGAGGGGCCAAUGGGACCGCGGGCGGUGGCGGCGGCGGUGGCGGCGGAGGGGCGCGGGCCGCGGCCCCGGGGAGGUUUCCGGCUCAGGUGUCCGGCGCGCACCAGCCCAGCGCCUCGGUCGGCGCCGCGGCGGCCUCGGCGGCCCCGCGCAGCCGCUCCCUCGGCGGGGCCGGGGGGAGCGUGGCGUCGGCGGCCCGCGCGGCGCAGUCCUCCUUCAACAUCCCCAACAGCAGCAGCGGCCCGUACGGCUCGCAGGACUCGGUGCACAGCAGCCCCGAGGACGGCGGCAGCAGCAGGGACCGGCCGGCGGGCGGGGGCCCCGGCGGACCGCGCCUGGUGAUCGGCUCCUUACCAGCUCACCUCUCGCCGCACAUGUUUGGAGGAUUUAAGUGCCCUGUAUGCUCAAAAUUUGUACCUUCAGAUGAAAUGGAUUUGCAUCUUGUGAUGUGUUUAACAAAGCCAAGAAUAACCUAUAAUGAGGAUGUACUGAGUAAAGAUGCUGGGGAAUGUGCAAUAUGCCUUGAAGAAUUGCAGCAGGGAGAUACUAUAGCACGACUGCCUUGUCUAUGCAUAUAUCAUAAAGGCUGCAUAGAUGAAUGGUUUGAAGUAAAUAGAUCUUGCCCGGAGCACCCUUCAGACUAAGCAUCAGCUUCCUGUUUUAUAGGUUUUCUUGUGUUUUCAAGAUGCUUGAAAAACUGAGAGGAGAUGAGGAUCUGUCUCUGGAAAAAGAAAAACAAAACUGCAGGCAUACUCAGCCAGAGAUCUGAGUUCUGUGAGACUUGGUAACGCAGAGAUGGACAAUCACACGGGGAAAAACCCUGCUGAAGAGAGGGCAGUUGCCACAGAACUCAGUGUACCGAACAUGCAUAUAGAGGACACACAGGGAUUUUGAAAAUGCUGCACCUCCCUUACUAGUCAUCUACAUAGACUUUAGUUCUUUUCCUUCUGUGUCCUGUUCCAUAUCAGCCUCUCUCGCUCAGCCUCUGACCUACGGUUCUGUGCUGCAGCAGCUACAGCAGAAGAAAGUUCAGUGUUUGUUAGUUCAAGUGCUCCUUGAUUAUUAUAUUUGUCUAGAACAGUACUUACUUAAAAUCUGUUUAUAGCAGCCCUUUUGUGUUAAAAUUGAUAGAGGUUAGCAUUUUUUACUUUAGGUUCAGUCUCUAUCAAUGACUCCCCAGAAAGAAGAAUUUAGGAAUUGAAAAUGUUUUUAUGCCCAGAUGCUCUGGUUAUUAUUCAAAGUCAAAAUUGCUACUCUGGAAAAUAUUAUAAUAUUCUACAUAAUGUCACUUACAAUAUUUGUGUAUCUGUAUGUGGACACUGAAUAGCGUAAGUAGGAUACAAAAAUCACAUUAGAUAUUUAAAUAUGUUGCUUGAAACUACUGACAACUGAAUAUUAUGGAGACAAAAUAAAGAUUGAAAACCUAGCUAUCAAGUUGGUGAUUGAUAGCCUUCCAGAAUCUUUGUAAAUACACGUUUUAAAAUGAGAUCGCACUUGCGUAAAUAGAAAGCAAUAUGUUCUGAAAUUUCACUUUAGUGCCACUCUUCAUAAUGGGUUUAUUGCCAAUUUUGACUCGUUUUACUUUGAUCUGGCUUUUUGAAUUUUGUUAUUGUUAUUGCCGGAAUGUAUAAGAGAUAGUAAAAUUAUCCUGUCUUUGGGCUUUUUGCCAGAGAAAUUAGCUAAACCUAGUCUUAAUCUAUGUUUUUCAGAUCUGGUUAUAAAUCUGAUAUAGAUCGUGUUUUAAGAGCAGUGUUUGUGAUUGAAAUAUAAGUAAUGAAUUCUAUAACUGAUUUUUUUGUGGUAGCUGAACAACAUUUAAAAGGCCAUAUUGUUAACUCUUGCAUGCUAUAUGGGUUUUGGUUUCUUUGUGCAAAUCUUCUGUUUCUUUUAAGUGAUACACAGUUAUUUCUGUUCUCACCACUAAAUACUUUAUUAGAAUGUAGCCCAAACGAAAUGCCUGAGGAUCACUGUCAGCAUAUUUUCAAUAUGUAUUUUGAAAAGAUUUCAGGUUAACAAAUGUAUUAGUGAAAAUGGCAGAUUCCUUUUCAAAGUUUAUUUUACUUUCCCAAUUUGGGUAUAGUGAAGUUUAAGGGCAACUAUUUAAAUUAACAUACUAUAGCAAGACUAAGAGAAAUGUCUUUAAAUGAAAAGACAGUAAAUUAAAUGUAAAUAUUACCUAAUCUUAUUUACUAACUUGGAGAGCUGAAGAAGAGAAAUUUCCUAAAAGUAAGCUACAUUUGAGCAAAGCAUGAAACUCUUUAAAAAUUCAAGAAUAAUUGAAUUUACCAUCUGAUUGACAUCCCUUUUAUGCAUUGAUAAUAAUAUCCAAAUCAUCCUAUUUUUUCACAGAGGGGUUUCCAUAUAAAUCAGAUGAACUUUGUAAGACUUCAUAGAGGUAAAUGUUGCGUAUUAAUUGUGAGUACAGUCUGUGAGCUGCCGGAAAUCUUCUAGUUCAUUUGGGCCAUUUUCUUGCAGUUUGAUUUAUCCUGAGGUGAACUCAAUGCAUAUUGACAGUGUGUUAAAUGUGAAAUGUCCCUUGUUCUUGUACAGGUAUUUUCUAAGUUAAAAAAAAAAAAAUUUUAGCAUGCUGAUACUUUUAUCUCUGACCCCAUCACUCCCCCCUUUUUUGAAGUGCGUAACUUCUGAUUUUUUUCUUUACUAUAUUGUGAAUGACAAUAGUUAAAUUAUGUUUUACUGUUCUAUUCCUCUGUAUCCAGACCUUUUCAUUCUGAUACUAAAUUGCUACUUGUUUUGUUUUGUUUUGUUUUGUUUUGUUUAGAGGAAAUUGCUACUUGGUAUACUCCUAGUAGUGAUUCUUAUUCAUGAACAGCUGAAUAGGUAAAACUUUUGGUAAUAAUUUACUCAGGCAGUACUUGGAGUGCCAUAUUCUGGGAAUGCUGUGUUGAAGCUGGGAAACUGAAUGUUCUUUUUCCAUCAUAGAAUUCCUGAAUUGAAUGGGAAAUACCUGGUCUUUGAAGUUCAGCUGAUUCUCUGGAAAGAACUAGAGGCAUUGAAGAAAACCAGAUAUAUUCAUAUUAAGUUUUAGCUGAAAAUGCAGUAUGACUAAGGGGAGUUGGUGUAUUUUCAGAUGUGAAGCCAUCAUUAAUUUUAGACCAACGGCUAACAAUAAGAUAAAUUGUUAGUUGUUUAUAGGGAAGCAAAGAGCAGUAUGGCAUAAACUCAUAUCUCAGAAAUGAAAAAUUUCAAAGUAAGAUUGCAGUAUUUGAUUAACCAACAUUGUGCUUCCUAGCUCUGCCCUGGACUGUGAGGCCGCUGUCAGGACUGCAAGUCUUAGAAUCAGAAGUGACUGAUUUCUCCUAUUAUUAAAUUCUCAUGCCUUCCCUUUUGAUUUGAUAUGCUGAGAUUGACUGAUGGUUUAUGUUUAUAAACUUACAGUCCUGCCUGUACCCUGUUACCAGUGACCCUGGUGCUAGCAUCUUGAAAAGGUUAUGUUAUUAGUCAUUAGCAUUUUGAGCAUGUGUGUGCAUAGAAUACAGUUAACAGACCCUAUAGGGAGAUCAAGAGAUAUUUUGGAAUUUGAUGAUGAUAUUGGUCUUUAUUACAGAAGUCCAUUUCAUUUUAUUUCUUUCCAAUGAUUAUAUGAGUGUCUUUUUUUUUUUUUUUAAAGAACAUCACAGUAAUAGUAUUUAUUUCCAUUGGUUUAUUCAUGGUUUCAACAACUCUUCUGUAAUACCUCUUAAUUUCCUCUAUUAGAAAGUAUUUUCCUGUUAAAUAAGGCAUCAAAAGCAUCCAUCAGAAGAAAUCUAGAAAAUGUAUUAGGAACAACUUGUAUUAGUAUGUUCUAAACUAAAAUGGAAUAAUUCAUGAUUGAUAUUUUAAUAAAUAAAACUUCCGAAUGAUCUUGCCAAAUUAUCCUGUUAUUUAGAAGUAUAACAUAAGAGAAUGCUUUCAAGGAAAUUUGUCAUAUCCACUGUAAUGCCUAGAAGUUGACAGUACAUUAUAAUAAAACUGAGAAUUACCUGAUUGCUGAAAGGUUACCACGAA